rnacentral:rRNA from 1 species
AGAGUUUGAUCCUGGCUCAGGACGAACGCUGGCGGCGCGCCUAACACAUGCAAGUCGAACGAGCGAGAGAGAGCUUGCUUUCUCGAGCGAGUGGCGAACGGGUGAGUAACGCGUGAGGAACCUGCCUCAAAGAGGGGGACAACAGUUGGAAACGACUGCUAAUACCGCAUAAGCCCACAGGUCGGCAUCGACCAGAGGGAAAAGGAGUAAUCCGCUUUGAGAUGGCCUCGCGUCCGAUUAGCUAGUUGGUGAGGUAACGGCCCACCAAGGCAACGAUCGGUAGCCGGACUGAGAGGUUGAACGGCCACAUUGGGACUGAGACACGGCCCAGACUCCUACGGGAGGCAGCAGUGGGGAAUAUUGCACAAUGGGGGAAACCCUGAUGCAGCGACGCCGCGUGGAGGAAGAAGGUCUUCGGAUUGUAAACUCCUGUUGUUGAGGAAGAUAAUGACGGUACUCAACAAGGAAGUGACGGCUAACUACGUGCCAGCAGCCGCGGUAAAACGUAGGUCACAAGCGUUGUCCGGAAUUACUGGGUGUAAAGGGAGCGCAGGCGGGAAGACAAGUUGGAAGUGAAAUCUAUGGGCUCAACCCAUAAACUGCUUUCAAAACUGUUUUUCUUGAGUAGUGCAGAGGUAGGCGGAAUUCCCGGUGUAGCGGUGGAAUGCGUAGAUAUCGGGAGGAACACCAGUGGCGAAGGCGGCCUACUGGGCACCAACUGACGCUGAGGCUCGAAAGUGUGGGUAGCAAACAGGAUUAGAUACCCUGGUAGUCCACACCGUAAACGAUGAUUACUAGGUGUUGGAGGAUUGACCCCUUCAGUGCCGCAGUUAACACAAUAAGUAAUCCACCUGGGGAGUACGACCGCAAGGUUGAAACUCAAAGGAAUUGACGGGGGCCCGCACAAGCGGAGGAACAUGUGGUUUAAUUCGAUGAUACGCGAGGAACCUUACCCGGGCUUAAAUUGCAACCGAAUAUGGCGGAAACGCCAUAGCUAGCAAUAGCGGUUGUGAAGGUGCUGCAUGGUUGUCGUCAGCUCGUGCCGUGAGGUGUCGGCUUAAGUGCCAUAACGAGCGCAACCCUUGCCGAUAGUUACUAACAGGUUAUGCUGAGGACUCUGUCGGGACUGCCAUCGUAAGAUGUGAGGAAGGUGGGGAUGACGUCAAAUCAGCACGGCCCUUACGUCCGGGGCUACACACGUGUUACAAUGGGGGGUACAGAGGGCUGCUACCACGCAAGUGGAUGCCAAUCCCAAAAACCUCUCUCAGUUCGGAUUGAAGUCUGCAACCCGACUUCAUGAAGCUGGAUUCGCUAGUAAUCGCGCAUCAGCCACGGCGCGGUGAAUACGUUCCCGGGCCUUGUACACACCGCCCGUCA